rnacentral:lncRNA from 1 species
AGAAUCUGAGGGUCAGGCGCAGUAACUUAUAUACUAAGGAUGCAAAGAGACUCUAACCAGGAUGCCAGUGACACGGAGCAUGAGAUAACGCUGGUCACUACAGUCCCCUCAGACUUGCUCUGACCGUGCAGAAGGACAGACUGACUGGGUUCUCUGGCUUCCUUCAUCCUCCUUUACUCUUGGCAACCACAUCAACCUUUCAAACCACUAAACCUGACUGUUCUAGACUUGGGCCAAGCCCUACCUCACGCAAGGACUCAAGCUUCAAAAGAAUUGAGACCUGGUGGGGUAAAUGCAUUGCCCGAAGCCAUGUGAUUAAGUAAAGGAAGCCAAGAGCUGAAGGCCGGCUGUCCUACUCCAAUGUCCAAGGUCCUGGCCUGCCCUGAUACAAGAAGGAACUCACUAACCACAGGAAUGACCUGAAUCUGUUGUGGAGGCUGGGACACUCCCUACCUUUGUCACCUGUCAACAGCUUACCUUGUAAUCACAAGGACAAUUAAACUUCAGCAGACACCUUGGAGUGGGACAUUUAAACUGUAGAGGGCUCCACAUGAGCUUCUGGAUGUAAAUGGGGCCUCCAUAAAACACACUGUGGGGAUGCUCAGAAAACAGGUCUUAUGUAAGGACUAAAAGACACCUGAGAGAGCUAGACCAGCCACACUGAGCAUCCUGCUGUCCGUGGGACCUCUCGGGAACACUUGACAUGAAACUUCUCCUGCCCUUUUGAAGGCCCUUUGGCUUCUAUGCCAGUUACUUUUCUGUCACUGCGAUAAAAUUCCACGACCAGAAGCAACUUCAGGAAGAAAGAGUUUCCGGAUCCAGAGGGGCAUAUCCACCAUGGCUGGAGAAGGCACAGAGAGGUGACAGGAGCAAGGAAGGUGGCUGAGCUUCAAUCCUAAGGUUGAGUGAGAGACUACACACUCUCAAAGCCUGUUUCCAUUGAACUUCCUCCAGCAAGACUUCCCCUUUUUCUACACUGCCCCAGUCCUGGAGAACAGUCUCUUAAAUUAACACACGUCACUAAUAAGCGUGCUUUUCCCUGACCGUGCCCUUCCUUCCCCAGCAGUCACCAUGCAAGCUCUUUGAAGUCUUCCCACCUUUCCGAGUCUGCGUCUUCCUUUCUGUUUCUCUCCGAUGCUAGCCAGAGCCUAAUCACCCUUCCUCUGGGUUCCUGGGGCUUUUUCACCUCUCAGAAACACCUCCCAGUUGCCAUGUGGCUGCUUGUUCAUGCCCCUUUCUCUUUUCUCCAUGUCCCUCCUCCAGGCAGCUGCCAAGAUUUACAGUUUGCCGGCCCUACGGUGUGACUUUUCUUUUUAAAUCCAGAUAUAAAAUGUUCCUGAGCUUUAAAAAUAAAUACACUUCCCCUUGAGUUGUCAAUUGCCAAUUUAAAUUGUCAACACCUAGCUAAUUAUGGUUGAGUCUGGCCAGACUGGUUGAACAGAUGGAUGGAUGGAUGGAUGGAUGGAUGGAUGGAUGGAUGGAUGGAUGGAUGGAAGAAAAUUAUCCAAGCCUCUGGGUAGUUUGGUUUAUCCAAGGAGGAACAAGAUUUUCCAAUUUAGAACUUGUAACUCUUACCUAGGAAGCGCAAGGCCCUGGGUUCGAU